rnacentral:rRNA from 1 species
AGAGUUUGAUCAUGGCUCAGAUUGAACGCUGGCGGCAGGCCUAAUACAUGCAAGUCGAACGGUAACAGAGAAGAAGCUUGCUUCUUCUGCUGACGAGUGGCGGACGGGUGAGUAAGAUCUGGGAAACUGCCUGACAGAGGGGGACAACAACUGGAAACGGUUGCUAAUACCGCAUAUUACCCUGAGGGGGAAAGUCGCAAGACGCUGUCAGAUGUGCCCAGAUGGGAUUAGCUAGUUGGUGAGGUAAAGGCUCACCAAGGCGACGAUCUCUAGCUGGUCUGAGAGGAUGAUCAGCCACAUUGGGACUGAGACACGGCCCAGACUCCUACGGGAGGCAGCAGUAGGGAAUAUUGCACAAUGGAGGAAACUCUGAUGCAGCCAUGCCGCGUGUGUGAAGAAGGCCUUCGGGUUGUAAAGCACUUUCAGAGGGGAGGAUAAUGACGUUACCCUCAGAAGAAGCACCGGCUAACUCCGUGCCAGCAGCCGCGGUAAUACGGAGGGUGCAAGCGUUAAUCGGAAUAACUGGGCGUAAAGGGCAUGCAGGCGGUCAUGCAAGCAGGAUGUGAAACCCCCGGGCUUAACCUGGGAACUGCAUUCUGAACUACAUGACUAGAGUAUUGCAGGGGGAGACGGAAUUCCAGGUGUAGCGGUGGAAUGCGUAGAUAUCUGGAAGAACACCAAAGGCGAAGGCAGUCUCCUGGGCAAAUACUGACGCUCAUAUGCGAAAGCGUGGGUAGCAAACAGGAUUAGAUACCCUGGUAGUCCACGCCGUAAACGAUGUCGAUUAGGAGCUUGAGCAAUAGCUUGGGUUUCGUAGCUAACGCAAUAAAUCGACCGCCUGGGGAGUACGGCCGCAAGGUUAAAACUCAAAU